rnacentral:rRNA from 1 species
AUUGAACGCUGGCGGCAGGCCUAACACAUGCAAGUCGAGCGGAUGAACGGAGCUUGCUCCUGGAUUCAUCGUCGGACGGGUGAGUAAUGCCUAUGAAUCUGCCUUGUAUUGGGUGAUAACGUCCUGAAACGGGCUCUAAUACCGCAUACGUCCUGAUGUAGAAAUUUGGGGAUCUUCGGACCUCACGCUAUCAGAUGAGCCUAGGUCGUAUUAGCUAGUUGGUUGGGUAAAGGCCUACCAAGGCGACGAUCCGUAACUGGUCUGAGAGGAUGAUCAGUCACACUGGAAGUGAAACACGGACAAGAGUACUACGGGAGGCAGCAGUGGGGAAUAUUGGACAAUGGGCGAAAGCAUGAUGCAGCCAUGCCGCGUGUGUGAAGAAGGUCUUCGGAUUGUAAAGCACUUUAAGUUGGGAGGAAGGGAAGUAAGUUAAUACCUUGCUGUUUUGACGUUAACAACAGAAUAAGCACCGGCUAACUACGUG